rnacentral:rRNA from 1 species
CGCAAGCCUGACGGGGCAAGACCGCGUGCGGGAUGACGGCCUAAUGGUUGUAAACCGCUUUUCUCUGGGAAGAUGAUGACGGUACCAGAGGAAUCAGCCUCGGCUAACUCCGUGCCAGCAGCCGCGGUAAGACGGAGGAUGCAAGCGUUAUCCGGAAUUAUUGGGCGUAAAGCGUCCGUAGGUGGUUAUUCAAGUCUGCUGUCAAAGCGUGGGGCUUAACUCCAUAGAGGCAGUGGAAACUGAGUGACUAGAGUGCGGUAGGGGUCGAGGGAAUUCCCAGUGUAGCGGUGAAAUGCGUAGAUAUUGGGAAGAACACCAGUGGCGAAAGCGCUCGACUGGGCCUGCACUGACACUGAGGGACGAAAGCUAGGGGAGCG